CCACACACACACACACACACACAAUUUGCUCGUUGUGCAUUCUGGGUACUUCUGGGUAUUCGCGCCAAAGGACAAAAGGAGAAAUUUGAAAAAUGGGAGACUGAACCAGUAGAACGUCUCUGACUGAACCAGUAAGGUGAUUUAUCGUGUCGAGCACACUGGAUUAAGAUUGAGGAGGAAUUAUGGAGGAUCACACUAAAGCCACUACAGUCCACAUUCCUGGGGAAGUUGGACCAAUACACGCCCAGACCGUUGAGCCUCUACAGGAGGAAGGGAGUCGCUGAUGGGAAUAAACUUGAUGAGACCCAUAACAUGUUCAGAGUUCGACAUAACCCGGGGCCAGUAAAAGUAGGUGCAGGGCAUGUCGACUGACCAAUCGCUGAUUACACUGAUUGGCCAGUCGCUGCCGGUACGACAAUCGUGAUUCGCUAG
rnacentral:lncRNA from 1 species